AUGUUGCAGGAGGAUGGGGGUAUUGAUGAAGAUGUGAACCAUCGAAUCAAAGCCGGAUGGAUGAAGUGGCGCCAAGCUUCUGGCAUUCUCUGUGACAAGAGAGUGCCACAAAAGCUAAAAGGCAAGUUCUACAGGACGGCGGUUCGACCCGCAAUGUUGUAUGGCGCGGAGUGUUGGCCGACUAAAAGGCGACAUGUUCAACAGUUAGGUGUGGCGGAGAUGCGUAUGUUGAGAUGGAUGUGUGGCCACACGAGGAAGGAUCGAGUCCGGAAUGAUGAUAUACGAGAUAGAGUUGGGGUGGCACCAAUUGAGGAGAAGCUUGUCCAACAUCGUUUGAGAUGGUUUGGGCAUAUUCAGCGCAGGCCUCCAGAAGAUCCAGUGCAUAGCGGACGGCUAAAGCGUGCGGAGAAUGUCAAGAGAGGGCGGGGUCGACCGAUUUUGACAUGGGAGGAGUCCGUUAAGAGAGACCUGAAGGAUUGGAGUAUCGACAAAGAGCUAACUAUGGACCAGGGUUCGUGGAAGCUUGCUAUCCAUGUGCCAGAGCCAUGA
rnacentral:rRNA from 1 species